ACGUAGGUGGCAAGCGUUGUCCGGAUUUACUGGGCGUAAAGAGCGCGCAGGCGGUCGAAUAAGUCGAAUGUGAAAGCCCCCGGCUUAACUGGGGAGGGUCAUUCGAUACUGCUCGACUUGAAUCCGGGAGAGGGAUGUGGAAUUCCAGGUGUAGCGGUGAAAUGCGUUGAUAUCUGGAGGAACAUCGGUGGCGAAGGCGGCAUCCUGGACCGGUAUUGACGCUGAGGCGCGAAAGCCAGGGGAGCAAACGGGA
rnacentral:rRNA from 1 species